AGCCCCGUACACAAAAAUGCACAUAUUGUGAGCUCGAUGAGUAGGGCGGGACACGUGGUAUCCUGUCUGAAUAUGGGGGGACCAUCCUCCAAGGCUAAAUACUCCUGACUGACCGAUAGUGAACCAGUACCGUGAGGGAAAGGCGAAAAGAACCCCGGCGAGGGGAGUGAAAAAGAACCUGAAACCGUGUACGUACAAGCAGUGGGAGCACGCUUAGGCGUGUGACUGCGUACCUUUUGUAUAAUGGGUCAGCGACUUAUAUUCUGUAGCAAGGUUAACCGAAUAGGGGAGCCGAAGGGAAACCGAGUCUUAACUGGGCGUUAAGUUGCAGGGUAUAGACCCGAAACCCGGUGAUCUAGCCAUGGGCAGGUUGAAGGUUGGGUAACACUAACUGGAGGACCGAACCGACUAAUGUUGAAAAAUUAGCGGAUGACUUGUGGCUGGGGGUGAAAGGCCAAUCAAACCGGGAGAUAGCUGGUUCUCCCCGAAAGCUAUUUAGGUAGCGCCUCGUGAAUUCAUCUCCGGGGGUAGAGCACUGUUUCGGCAAGGGGGUCAUCCCGACUUACCAACCCGAUGCAAACUGCGAAUACCGGAGAAUGUUAUCACGGGAGACACACGGCGGGUGCUAACGUCCGUCGUGAAGAGGGAAACAACCCAGACCGCCAGCUAAGGUCCCAAAGUCAUGGUUAAGUGGGAAACGAUGUGGGAAGGCCCAGACAGCCAGGAUGUUGGCUUAGAAGCAGCCAUCAUUUAAAGAAAGCGUAAUAGCUCACUGGUCGAGUCGGCCUGCGCGGAAGAUGUAACGGGGCUAAACCAUGCACCGAAGCUGCGGCAGCGACGCUGAUGCGUUGUUGGGUAGGGGAGCGUUCUGUAAGCCUGUGAAGGUGUGCUGUGAGGUAUGCUGGAGGUAUCAGAAGUGCGAAUGCUGACAUAAGUAACGAUAAAGCGGGUGAAAAGCCCGCUCGCCGGAAGACCAAGGGUUCCUGUCCAACGUUAAUCGGGGCAGGGUGAGUCGACCCCUAAGGCGAGGCCGAAAGGCGUAGUCGAUGGGAAACAGGUUAAUAUUCCUGUACUUGGUGUUACUGCGAAGGGGGGACGGAGAAGGCUAUGUUGGCCGGGCGACGGUUGUCCCGGUUUAAGCGUGUAGGCUGGUUUUCCAGGCAAAUCCGGAAAACUAAGGCUGAGGCGUGAUGACGAGGCACUACGGUGCUGAAGCAACAAAUGCCCUGCUUCCAGGAAAAGCCUCUAAGCAUCAGGUAACAUCAAAUCGUACCCCAAACCGACACAGGUGGUCAGGUAGAGAAUACCAAGGCGCUUGAGAGAACUCGGGUGAAGGAACUAGGCAAAAUGGUGCCGUAACUUCGGGAGAAGGCACGCUGAUAUGUAGGUGAAGUCCCUCGCGGAUGGAGCUGAAAUCAGUCGAAGAUACCAGCUGGCUGCAACUGUUUAUUAAAAACACAGCACUGUGCAAACACGAAAGUGGACGUAUACGGUGUGACGCCUGCCCGGUGCCGGAAGGUUAAUUGAUGGGGUCAGCGCAAGCGAAGCUCUUGAUCGAAGCCCCGGUAAACGGCGGCCGUAACUAUAACGGUCCUAAGGUAGCGAAAUUCCUUGUCGGGUAAGUUCCGACCUGCACGAAUGGCGUAAUGAUGGCCAGGCUGUCUCCACCCGAGACUCAGUGAAAUUGAACUCGCUGUGAAGAUGCAGUGUACCCGCGGCAAGACGGAAAGACCCCGUGAACCUUUACUAUAGCUUGACACUGAACAUUGAGCCUUGAUGUGUAGGAUAGGUGGGAGGCUUUGAAGUGUGGACGCCAGUCUGCAUGGAGCCGACCUUGAAAUACCACCCUUUAAUGUUUGAUGUUCUAACGUUGACCCGUAAUCCGGGUUGCGGACAGUGUCUGGUGGGUAGUUUGACUGGGGCGGUCUCCUCCUAAAGAGUAACGGAGGAGCACGAAGGUUGGCUAAUCCUGGUCGGACAUCAGGAGGUUAGUGCAAUGGCAUAAGCCAGCUUGACUGCGAGCGUGACGGCGCGAGCAGGUGCGAAAGCAGGUCAUAGUGAUCCGGUGGUUCUGAAUGGAAGGGCCAUCGCUCAACGGAUAAAAGGUACUCCGGGGAUAACAGGCUGAUACCGCCCAAGAGUUCAUAUCGACGGCGGUGUUUGGCACCUCGAUGUCGGCUCAUCACAUCCUGGGGCUGAAGUAGGUCCCAAGGGUAUGGCUGUUCGCCAUUUAAAGUGGUACGCGAGCUGGGUUUAGAACGUCGUGAGACAGUUCGGUCCCUAUCUGCCGUGGGCGCUGGAGAACUGAGGGGGGCUGCUCCUAGUACGAGAGGACCGGAGUGGACGCAUCACUGGUGUUCGGGUUGUCAUGCCAAUGGCACUGCCCGGUAGCUAAAUGCGGAAGAGAUAAGUGCUGAAAGCAUCUAAGCACGAAACUUGCCCCGAGAUGAGUUCUCCCUGACUCCUUGAGAGUCCUGAAGGAACGUUGAAGACGACGACGUUGAUAGGCCGGGUGUGUAAGCGCAGCGAUGCGUUGAGCUAACCGGUACUAAUGAACCGUGAGGCUUAACCUUACAACGCCGAAGGUGUUU
rnacentral:rRNA from 1 species